rnacentral:tRNA from 1 species
GGGGAUUUAGCUCAGUGGCAUAAGCACCUGCCUUGCAAGCAGGCGGUUGCAAGUUUGAUCCCCA